rnacentral:rRNA from 1 species
GAUGAACGCUGGCGGUAUGCCUAACACAUGCAAGUCGUACGAGAGUUUUUAACUCUAGUGGCGGACGGGUGAGUAACACGUGAGAAUUUGCCUUUAGAGGGGGACAACAAUUGGAAACGAAUGCUAAUACCCCAUAUGCUUUCGAGUGAAAUGGAUUUUAUCUGCCUAAAGAAAAGCUCGCGGCUGAUUAGCUUGUUGGUAAGGUAAGAGCUUACCCAAGGCGACGAUCAGUAUCUGGUUUGAGAGGACGAUCAGACACACUGGAACUGAGACACGGUCCAGACUCCUACGGGAGGCAGCAGUGGGGAAUUUUCCGCAAUGGGCGAAAGCCUGACGGAGCAAUACCGCGUGAGGGAUGAAAGCCUGUGGGUUGUAAACCUCUUUUCUCAAGGAAGAAAUUUUGACGGUACUUGAGGAAUAAGCAUCGGCUAACUCUGUG